UUAAUGCAUCAGUGGUAUGAUUCUCGCUUUGGGUGCGAGAGGCCCCGGGUUCAAUCCCCGGUCAAG